UGGUGAAUUCAAAGCCAGCCUGGGCUCUGUAGUAGCUCAGGCUGGCCCAGAAUACCCAAUGAGAUUCUGUCCCUUAGACAUAA